GACGAACGCUGGCGGCGUGCUUAACACAUGCGAGUCGAACGGAAAGGCCCUGCUUUUGUGGGGUGCUCGAGUGGCGAACGGGUGAGUAGCACGUGAGUAACCUGCCCUUGACUUUGGGAUAACUUCAGGAAACUGGGGCUAAUACCGGAUAGGAGCUCCUGCUGCAUGGUGGGGGUUGGAAAGUUUCGGCGGUUGGGGAUGGACUCGCGGCUUAUCAGCUUGUUGGUGGGGUAGUGGCUUACCAAGGCUUUGACGGGUAGCCGGCCUGAGAGGGUGACCGGCCACAUUGGGACUGAGAUACGGCCCAGACUCCUACGGGAGGCAGCGGUGGGGAAUAUUGCACAAUGGGCGGAAGCCUGAUGCAGCAACGCCGCGUGCGGGAUGACGGCCUUCGGGUUGUAAACCGCUUUCGCCUGUGACGAAGCGUGAGUGACGGUAAUGGGUAAAGAAGCACCGGCUAACUACGUG
rnacentral:rRNA from 1 species